ACCACGUCGCCAGGAGGCCCCGACUGCCACUCAACGCUUCGCCUUCACCGGCUUUCCAGACAUGGCUGAUGCAUGGGCUCCGGCUGCUGGCAAGAGGCCUCAGUGCCUCUCUGCCUAGGCCUCUCCACGGAGCUCCUCGGUGCCUUGGCCACACAGCAGUGGGGUCCCCCUAGAGCGAGCACCAAGGAGACCAAGGUGAGAAGACAAGCUCCUGGUGCCCCCACCGACCUCGUGCUCAGCAUGGCAGCCGUGGUCCUGCCUCCCACUUGCAUCUCUCAGCAAACAGGUUGCACAGAGUUGACACUGGCUAAGGAGUCCCUGACCAGCUG